rnacentral:rRNA from 6 species
GGUUAAGCGACUAAGCGUACACGGUGGAUGCCUAGGCAGUCAGAGGCGAUGAAGGGCGUGCUAAUCUGCGAAAAGCGUCGGUAAGCUGAUAUGAAGCGUUAUAACCGACGAUACCCGAAUGGGGAAACCCAGUGCAAUACGUUGCACUAUCGUUAGAUGAAUACAUAGUCUAACGAGGCGAACCGGGGGAACUGAAACAUCUAAGUACCCCGAGGAAAAGAAAUCAACCGAGAUUCCCCCAGUAGCGGCGAGCGAACGGGGAGGAGCCCAGAGUCUGAAUCAGUUUGUGUGUUAGUGGAAGCGUCUGGAAAGUCGCACGGUACAGGGUGAUAGUCCCGUACACCAAAAUGCACAGGCUGUGAACUCGAUGAGUAGGGCGGGACACGUGACAUCCUGUCUGAAUAUGGGGGGACCAUCCUCCAAGGCUAAAUACUCCUGACUGACCGAUAGUGAACCAGUACCGUGAGGGAAAGGCGAAAAGAACCCCGGCGAGGGGAGUGAAAUAGAACCUGAAACCGUGUACGUACAAGCAGUGGGAGCACCUUCGUGGUGUGACUGCGUACCUUUUGUAUAAUGGGUCAGCGACUUAUAUUUUGUAGCAAGGUUAACCGAAUAGGGGAGCCGUAGGGAAACCGAGUCUUAACUGGGCGUCUAGUUGCAAGGUAUAGACCCGAAACCCGGUGAUCUAGCCAUGGGCAGGUUGAAGGUUGGGUAACACUAACUGGAGGACCGAACCGACUAAUGUUGAAAAAUUAGCGGAUGACUUGUGGCUGGGGGUGAAAGGCCAAUCAAACCGGGAGAUAGCUGGUUCUCCCCGAAAGCUAUUUAGGUAGCGCCUCGUGAACUCAUCUUCGGGGGUAGAGCACUGUUUCGGCUAGGGGGCCAUCCCGGCUUACCAAACCGAUGCAAACUCCGAAUACCGAAGAAUGUUAUCACGGGAGACACACGGCGGGUGCUAACGUCCGUCGUGAAGAGGGAAACAACCCAGACCGCCAGCUAAGGUCCCAAAGUCAUGGUUAAGUGGGAAACGAUGUGGGAAGGCACAGACAGCCAGGAUGUUGGCUUAGAAGCAGCCAUCAUUUAAAGAAAGCGUAAUAGCUCACUGGUCGAGUCGGCCUGCGCGGAAGAUGUAACGGGGCUAAACCAUGCACCGAAGCUGCGGCAGCGACACUUAGGUGUUGUUGGGUAGGGGAGCGUUCUGUAAGCCGUUGAAGGUGACCUGUGAGGGUUGCUGGAGGUAUCAGAAGUGCGAAUGCUGACAUAAGUAACGAUAAUGCGGGUGAAAAACCCGCACGCCGGAAGACCAAGGGUUCCUGUCCAACGUUAAUCGGGGCAGGGUGAGUCGACCCCUAAGGCGAGGCUGAAAAGCGUAGUCGAUGGGAAACAGGUUAAUAUUCCUGUACUUGGUGUUACUGCGAAGGGGGGACGGAGAAGGCUAGGCUGGCCGGGCGACGGUUGUCCCGGUUUAAGCGUGUAGGGGGAGUGACCAGGUAAAUCCGGUUGCUUAUCAACCCUGAGGCGUGAUGACGAUGCACCACGGUGCAGAAGCAGUUGAUGCCAUGCUUCCAGGAAAAGCCUCUAAGCAUCAGGUAACAUUAAAUCGUACCCCAAACCGACACAGGUGGUCAGGUAGAGAAUACUCAGGCGCUUGAGAGAACUCGGGUGAAGGAACUAGGCAAAAUGGUGCCGUAACUUCGGGAGAAGGCACGCUGGCGUUAGGUGAAAGGACUAGCUCCUGGAGCUGAAGCCAGUCGCAGAUACCAGCUGGCUGCAACUGUUUAAUAAAAACACAGCACUGUGCAAACACGAAAGUGGACGUAUACGGUGUGACGCCUGCCCGGUGCUGGAAGGUUAAUUGAUGGGGUCAGCCGCAAGGGGAAGCUCUUGAUCGAAGCCCCAGUAAACGGCGGCCGUAACUAUAACGGUCCUAAGGUAGCGAAAUUCCUUGUCGGGUAAGUUCCGACCUGCACGAAUGGCGUAAUGAUGGCCAGGCUGUCUCCACCCGAGACUCAGUGAAAUUGAACUCGCUGUGAAGAUGCAGUGUACCCGCGGCAAGACGGAAAGACCCCGUGAACCUUUACUAUAGCUUGACACUGAACAUUGAGCCUUGAUGUGUAGGAUAGGUGGGAGGCCUUGAAGUGUGGACGCCAGUCUGCAUGGAGCCAACCUUGAAAUACCACCCUUUAAUGUUUGAUGUUCUAACUCGGCCCCAUGAUCUGGGGUGAGGACAGUGUCUGGUGGGUAGUUUGACUGGGGCGGUCUCCUCCCAAAGAGUAACGGAGGAGCACGAAGGUUAGCUAAUCACGGUCGGACAUCGUGAGGUUAGUGCAAAGGCAUAAGCUAGCUUGACUGCGAGAGUGACGGCUCGAGCAGGUACGAAAGUAGGUCUUAGUGAUCCGGUGGUUCUGAAUGGAAGGGCCAUCGCUCAACGGAUAAAAGGUACUCCGGGGAUAACAGGCUGAUACCGCCCAAGAGUUCAUAUCGACGGCGGUGUUUGGCACCUCGAUGUCGGCUCAUCACAUCCUGGGGCUGAAGUAGGUCCCAAGGGUAUGGCUGUUCGCCAUUUAAAGUGGUACGCGAGCUGGGUUUAGAACGUCGUGAGACAGUUCGGUCCCUAUCUGCCGUGGGCGUUGGAAGAUUGAGAGGGGCUGCUCCUAGUACGAGAGGACCGGAGUGGACGAAUCACUGGUGUUCGGGUUGUCAUGCCAAUGGCAUUGCCCGGUAGCUAAAUUCGGAAGAGAUAACCGCUGAAAGCAUCUAAGCGGGAAACUUGCCUCGAGAUGAGUCUUCCCUGGGGCUUAAAGCCCCCUGAAGGAACGUUAAAGACUAUGACGUUGAUAGGCUGGGUGUGUAAGUGCAGCGAUGUAUUGAGCUAACCAGUACUAAUGAUCCGUGAGGCUUAACCUU